rnacentral:rRNA from 1 species
UACAGAGGUCCCGAGCGUUGUUCGGAUUUAUUGGGCGUAAAGAGCUCGUAGGCGGUCUGUCGCGUCGGAUGUGAAAACCCAGGGCUCAACCCUGGGCCUGCAUUCGAUACGGGCAGACUAGAGUUCGGUAGGGGAGACUGGAAUUCCUGGUGUAGCGGUGAAAUGCGCAGAUAUCAGGAGGAACACCGGUGGCGAAGGCGGCUCUCUGGGCCUUACCUGACGCUGAGGAGCGAAAGCGUGGGUAGCGAACAGG